rnacentral:rRNA from 1 species
CCCUAUUAUAAUAAAGUGAAAUUAAAUCUAAGGUAGUAUAUGUUAUGACCAGGAAACUUAAAGAAUUUGGCGGUAUUUAUUCUAAUCAGAGGAAUAUGUUUUUUAAUUGAUUAUCCCCAAAUAUCUUACUGAAAUUAAAUUUUGUAUACCUCCGUCUAAAAAUUUUUUUAAAAUAUAUUUUAAAUUUCUUUAAAGAAAUAAGUCAGGUCAAGGUGCAGAUUAUAUUUUAGUUAAAAUGUAUUACAUUAAAAUUAUUUUUGGAUUUAUUUUUUACCUAUUAAUGAAAUUGGAUUUGAAAGUAAAUUUAUUUUUAUAAUAAUGAAUUGAAUUAAGUUAAUAAAUAUGCACACAUCG